rnacentral:rRNA from 1 species
ACCAAGGCUAAGACGGCUAGGGGGCGUGAGAGCGUGGCCCCCCACAAUGGAACUGAGACACGGUCCAUACUCCUACGGGAGGCAGCAGUGAGGAAUAUUGCGCAAUGGGGGAAACCCUGACGCAGCAACGCCGCGUGGACGAUGAAGGCCUUCGGGUUGUAAAGUCCUUUUCUGAGGGAAGAUAGUGACGGUACCUCAGGAAUAAGUCCCGGCUAACUACGUGCCAGCAGCCGCGGUAAAACGUAGGGGGCGAGCGUUAUCCGGAUUUACUGGGCGUAAAGCGCACGUAGGUGGUGUCGUAAGUUGGACGUGAAAGCUCUUGGCUUAACUGAGAGAGGUCGUUCAAAACUGCGGCGCUUGAGGAUAGAAGAGGGGAGUGGAAUUCCCGGUGUAGUGGUGGAAUGCGUAGAUAUCGGGAGGAACACCAGUGGCGAAGGCGGCUCCCUGGUCUAUCUCUGACGCUGAGGUGCGAAAGCGUGGGGAGCGAACGGGAUUAGAUACCCCGGUAGUCCACGCUGUAAACGAUGGAUACUAGGUGUGGGAGGUCAUCUAACCCUUCCGUGCCGAAGCAAACGCGUUAAGUAUCCCGCCUGGGGACUACGGCCGCAAGGUUAAAACUCAAAUGAAUUGACGGGGGCCCGCACAAGCAGCGGAGCGUGUGGUUUAAUUCGAUGAUACGCGAAGAACCUUACCUGGGUUUGACAUGUUGGUAGUAGUGAAGCGAAAGCGGAACGACCCUUCGGGGAGCCAUCACAGGUGCUGCAUGGCUGUCGUCAGCUCGUGUCGUGAGAUGUUGGGUUAAGUCCCGCAACGAGCGCAACCCUUGUCGUUAGUUAUAUGUGUCUAGCGAGACUGCCGGUAUCAAACCGGACGCGAGGUGGGGAUGACGUCAAGUCAGCAUGGUCUUUAUAUCCAGGGCUACACACACGCUACAAUGGCCGGUACAAUAGGUUGCCACACCGCGAGGUGGAGCUAAUCCCCAAAGCC